rnacentral:rRNA from 1 species
AACGAACGCUGGCGGCAUGCCUAACACAUGCAAGUCGAACGAUUGCCUUCGGGUGAUAGUGGCGCACGGGUGCGUAACGCGUGGGAAUCUGCCCUUAGGUUCAGAAUAACAGCUGGAAACGGCUGCUAAUACCGGAUGAUAUCGCGAGAUCAAAGAUUUAUCGCCUGAGGAUGAGCCCGCGUUGGAUUAGGUAGUUGGUGGGGUAAAGGCCUACCAAGCCGACGAUCCAUAGCUGGUCUGAGAGGAUGAUCAGCCACACUGGGACUGAGACACGGCCCAGACUCCUACGGGAGGCAGCAGUGGGGAAUAUUGGACAAUGGGCGCAAGCCUGAUCCAGCAAUGCCGCGUGAGUGAUGAAGGCCCUAGGGUUGUAAAGCUCUUUUACCCGGGAAGAUAAUGACUGUACCGGGAGAAUAAGCCCCGGCUAACUCCGUG